rnacentral:rRNA from 1 species
GACGAACGCUGGCGGCGUGCUUAACACAUGCAAGUCGAACGGAGAGGCCCUGCUUUUGUGGGGUGCUCGAGUGGCGAACGGGUGAGUAACACGUGAGUAACCUGCCCUUGACUUUGGGAUAACUUCAGGAAACUGGGGCUAAUACCGGAUAGGAGCUCCUGCUGCAUGGUGGGGGUUGGAAAGUUUCGGCGGUUGGGGAUGGACUCGCGGCUUAUCAGCUUGUUGGUGGGGUAGUGGCUUACCAAGGCUUUGACGGGUAGCCGGCCUGAGAGGGGGACCGGCGACAUUGGGACUGAGGGAGGGCGCAGACUCCUACGGGAGGCAGCGGUGGGGAAUAUUGCACAAUGGGCGGAAGCCUGAUGCAGCAGCGCCGCGUGCGGGAUGACGGCCUUCGGGUUGUGAACCGCUUUCGCCUGUGACGAAGCGUGGGUGACGGUAAUGGGUAAAGAAGCACCGGCUAACUACGUG